UAAAAUCAUUCUUUCUCUUUCUCAUUUUCAUAUAUAUGUUUUUUUGUUCAUCUUAAUCAUAAAAACAACUGAGAAGACAAAAAUUUUAAAAAUAAGAAAAGAGGAUCAGAGACAGGACUGCAAUUCUUAGUAUGGAAGAGUAGGUGGCGUUGAUAGGGGAAAGACUUAUGUGGCAAAGAAUAGAGGGUUAAGGGUGAGAGAGAAAAAGACAGAACAAAGUAGAGAAUAAAAAACACGAAGGAAGAAGGAGAAGAUGGUGCCUACUGCCUAAGAACCGGCGUUCGCCACAAAACAAUGUCGCAACUGCUCCUUCGCCGGUGGCGGCAGGUGCUGCAAAUGUGAAGAACCACUUCAUUACAAGGUUGUUGUAAGUCGGAGAUUUAGACCAUGUUGUCAACGAAAGACACCCCUACUAUUUAUUCAUCCAGGCCCGACAAAGAGUUUCAAUUCAACCAGGAACAAGAUACUUAAAAUCUUUCAUAUUUUCCUUCCUAUUUUUCAAUCUUCUGCCGAAAAAAAUAGAAGAAGAAAUCAUGGCGGUGAUGAAAGGAAGAAUAAUGACGGAAAAAGGAGAAGAGGGUGGCGAUGAACUGGCGUCUCCCGCAGAUCGGCAUUGCAGUCGCUUCUUCGCCGGCUGUGGGUGCUGCGAAUGCGAUAAACCAGUUCGUUCCUUUGCAAGAUCUGGUAAGAGAAUUAUUUAUUUCUAUUAAAUUUGUUCUUUCUUUUCCUCCUAGACAUCAGUUUUUAUAUCUAAUUAGCUGGCGGGGAAAGCAGUCUUUUAACAGAUAUGCAGGUACUGAAACUAGCAUCAUAUUUUACAAUUUUUUGACCUUUUUUCUACUUUAUUAUAUGUCUAAUUAAAUUGAUCAUUCAUGAAACACAUUUUUUUAGGGAAGUAUGUACCUAAGUUAGAACCCCUGAUAAAUGAUAGGAACCUUUCCACUAAUUUCAAAGGUAAGGUUCUACGUAGUGCAUAAAGAAUUUUGUUUUAGUAAUUAAAUGAAGCUAAGAAUAUUUUCCUUAUUUAGUAUCUUGAUGUCUUACGCCUUACACUUCUCUUAUUUUUAUUGUAUUUUUUUUUUUACAAGUCUACUUCUGUGUUUCAAUAAUUUUCUAUAUAUAAUUUUGUUUUGGUAGACAAGUACAUCUUUAAAAUUUACUGUAUUAAACCCUAAAGAACGCAUUUAGACCAUGGUAGAUGGAGAAGUUGUAAAUGAUGAUAUUGUCCUUUGCAAUUUUUGUGGAUUGCAAAAUUUGAACAAAGGCAACUAUAUUAUUACUAGACUAACUCUUGGUCGUUA